rnacentral:rRNA from 1 species
AACGAACGCUGGCGGCAUGCCUAACACAUGCAAGUCGAACGAGACCUUCGGGUCUAGUGGCGCACGGGUGCGUAACGCGUGGGAAUCUGCCCUUGGGUUCGGAAUAACAGUUAGAAAUGACUGCUAAUACCGGAUAAUGUCUUCGGACCAAAGAUUUAUCGCCCAGGGAUGAGCCCGCGUAGGAUUAGCUAGUUGGUGAGGUAAAGGCUCACCAAGGCGACGAUCCUUAGCUGGUCUGAGAGGAUGAUCAGCCACACUGGGACUGAGACACGGCCCAGACUCCUACAGGAGGCAGCAGUGGGGAAUAUUGGACAAUGGGCGAAAGCCUGAUCCAGCAAUGCCGCGUGAGUGAUGAAGGCCUUAGGGUUGUAAAGCUCUUUUACCCGGGAUGAUAAUGACAGUACCGGGAGAAUAAGCCCCGGCUAACUCCGUGCCAGCAGCCGCGUAAU